ensembl:lncRNA
GAGGGGGUAAACAGCUCCAACUCCCAUUUCUGUACCAGGGUACUCCCCAGGAAAAACGGAAACUGAUCUACCCAGCCUGACAGCUGAACCUAAGAAGGAAUCAGGCAGAUGAGGAGGGAGGAAGGGCAUGUAAGAUGGAGGCAAAGGCAUCUCCAGUGUCCCAGAAGUUGCCCAGCACUUGUUGAGUGCACUCUCCCUGCAGCCCUGUCAGUUGACUAGGGGAGUCUGUAGUCAGGAAGAGAGUGCUGAGCCUGAAGUGUGGAUCUGGAAACCAUCAGCCUGUGGUGCCGAGCUGGGAGGUGAUGAAGCCACAGAUACCUAGAUUUGAAUCAAGGUCCCACCACUUAUUCCUUCUGUGACAGUGGGCAAGUUACUUAC